rfam:Homo sapiens chromosome 9, GRCh38 reference primary assembly.
GGAAAACUGGAAGAGGGGCCAGCCUCAGGCCUCGCAACAAACUGGGGCG